UAGAGGCUAUCAUCUCCAAACACAGAGA
rnacentral:piRNA from 1 species